UCCUAUAUAGUGUAGCGGUUUAGCAUUCCAGAUUUUCAUCUCUUGGUGGCUAUUUCUGGCGACCCGGGUUCGAACCCCGGUAUAGGAA